rnacentral:rRNA from 1 species
AUUGAACGCUGGCGGCAUGCUUUACACAUGCAAGUCGAACGGUAACAGGCCGCAAGGUGCUGACGAGUGGCGAACGGGUGAGUAAUGCAUCGGAACGUGCCCAGUCGUGGGGGAUAACUACUCGAAAGAGUAGCUAAUACCGCAUACGAUCUAUGGAUGAAAGCGGGGGAGCGGAAGGGCUCGCGCGGUUGGAGCGGCCGAUGUCAGAUUAGGUAGUUGGUGGGGUAAAGGCUCACCAAGCCAACGAUCUGUAGCUGGUCUGAGAGGACGACGGGCCACACUGGGACUGAGCCACGGACCAGACUCCUACGGGAGGCAGCAGUGGGGAAUUUUGGACAAUGGGCGCAAGCCUGAUCCAGCAAUGCCGCGUGCAGGAAGAAGGCCUUCGGGUUGUAAACUGCUUUUGUACGGAACGAAACGGCUCUGGUUAAUACCCGGGGCUAAUGACGGUACCGUAAGAAUAAGCACCGGCUAACUACGUG